UACGUAGGGGGCAAGCGUUGUCCGGAAUCAUUGGGCGUAAAGCGCGUGUAGGCGGCCCGGUAAGUCCGCUGUGAAAGUCCAGGGCCUACCACCGUGGAUGCCGGUGGAUACUGUCGGGCUCGAGUCCGGAAGAGGAGUGUGGAAUUCCUGGUGUAGCGGUGAAAUGCGCAGAUAUCAGGAGGAACACCAGUGGCGAAGGCGAUCACCUGGGGUUGUUCUGACGCUGAGGAGCGAAAGCUAGGGGAGCAAACGGG
rnacentral:rRNA from 1 species